CCCUUAGAUGUUCUGGGCCGCACGCGUGCUACACUGAGUGGAUCAGCGGGUCAGGUUGCGCGAAAGCGUUUCCUAAUCUUUAAAUCCGCUCGUGAUGGGGAUUGACGGUUGCAAUUUUCUGUCAUGAACGAGGAAUACCUUGUAAGCGCGGGUCAUCAUCCCGCGCUGAAUACGUCCCUGCCCUUUGUACACACCGCCCGUCGCUCCUACCGAUUGAGUGGUCCGGUGAGGCUUUGGGAUCUGAGCGGAAAGAGCGUUUCGCUGUUGCUGCUCGGAAAACUCAGUCGAACCUUAUCAUUUAGAGGAAGGAGAAGUCGUAACA
rnacentral:rRNA from 1 species